ACUAGUUGACAAUUUAGACCACACAUAUUUCUCUGUCCUCCCAUGACUAGUCAGGAUUAAGCAAAAGAUCUCUUGGAAAAGAAGAAGGUGUCUUAGAUUCUCAAAUAUGAUUGAGUUUCUACCUGAUGAUUGUCAUAUACCUUGCUUUGUAGAGUGCUAAAUCUGAUUUAGUUUUCUCUACAGAGAACUGGAACAUGACUGAAGCAGACGUUUACACUAUGGCAGGUUUCAGAAGGCAGAUGCACCAGAGAAGGGGGUGAUGGCUGUCCAAGGGGCCUGUGACACUUGGGGACAAAUUCCCAGAAGAAGACCAGACCCUUCUACACCACCACUGGACCUUCAGAGGAAAACUACACCUUUCUACAGGAGCACUGCUUCAACAGAAUCACAUCUGUCACUCCAAGAAGACUGCAGCCACCAUUUAAUCAGACUGCUACCAACACCCUGACUGAUGGUUGUAUUCCAACUGUCAGUGGUUUUGUCCUACUGCAUUUUUAUUUUAAUUUUCCUAUUAAAGUGUAGUUCUGACUUGA